rnacentral:rRNA from 1 species
UACGUAGGGUGCGAGCGUUAAUCGGAAUUACUGGGCGUAAAGUGUGCGCAGGCGGCAGAGCAAGUCGAGUGUGAAAGCCCCGGGCUUAACUUGGGAAUUGCGCUCGAAACUACUUUGCUGGAGUGUGGCAGAGGAAGGUGGAAUUCCACGUGUAGCGGUGAAAUGCGCAGAUAUCAGGAGGAACACCGGUGGCGAAGGCGGUGGUCUGGGCCGGCACUGACGCUGAGGAGCGAAAGCGUGGGGAGCGAACAGG